UACGUAGGUGGCAAGCGUUGUCCGGAUUUACUGGGCGUAAAGGGCGUGCAGGCGGUUUGUUAAGUCUAGGGUGAAAGCUCCCGGCUCAACUGGGAGAGGUCCUUGGAUACUGGCAGACUUGAGGAGGGUAGAGGAGAGUGGAAUUCCCGGUGUAGUGGUGAUAUGCGUAGAUAUCGGGAGGAACACCAGUGGCGAAGGCGGCUCUCUGGGCCCUACCUGACGCUGAGACGCGAAAGCGUGGGGAGCAAACGGG
rnacentral:rRNA from 1 species